GUUAGGGUUUGGGUUAGGGUUUGGGUUAGGGUUAGGGUUAGGGUUAGGGUUAGGGUUAGGGUUAGGGUUAGGGUUAGGGUUAGGGUUAGGGUUAGGGUUAGGGUUAGGGUUAGGGUCAGGGUUAGGGUCAGGGGUUAGGGUUAGGGUUAGGGUUAGGGUUAGGGUUAGGGUUAGGGUCAGGGUUAGGGUCAGGGUUGGGGUUAGAGAAGUGUUAGGGUUAGGUUUAUGGUUAGGGUUAGGGUUAG